GGGGUUGUAGCUCAGUUCGUAGAGUGCUUACCUUGAAUAUAUAAGGCCCUGGGUUCAAUCCCCAGCACCA
rnacentral:tRNA from 1 species